CGGAUGGAGCCGACGGAACGGCCCGUAUCGAGUCGUGGGGUAUUAGUCGGCCUUGCGCCGCUUCCUCCCGACCUAACUGCGGGUGCAGUGCGCUGAGGGCUGUGACUGUCCGGUGCGAAGUCGGGUUCAAGGGCUAGGCGCUGGUCGCUGUUGCCUCUCCGGCGGAGUGCUGUGAUGGGUGCAGUUGAAGWGGGGUUGUGCAGGUUGGCUGCGUUCGAUGUCGUCGGCUGGUGAUCGCUUGCGUGAUCCUCCGGUCGCUUUCGCUCGCCGACUGCCGGCCUUCCCCGGACUCGGUGUGAGAGUCGGUCCCCCAUCCGACCCGUCUUGAAACACGGACCAAGGAGUUUACCGCGUGCGCGAGUCAAUGAGUGGGCAAAACUCAGCGGCGCAACGAAGGUGAAUGGUGUGCGACCCGUGCGCCUAGCGCGCGGAGCAGCACGGCCCUGUGGCACCGCUUGCGGUGUUGUGGAGGCGGAGCGCACGCGAUGAGACCCGAAAGAUGGUGAACUAUUCCUGAGCAGGUCGAAGGGGAGGGAAACUUUCCUGGAGGACCGAAGCGAUUCUGACGUGCAAUUCGAUCGUCUGACUUGGGUAUAGGGGCGAAAGACUAAUCGAACCAUCUAGUA
rnacentral:rRNA from 1 species